AACGAACGCUGGCGGCGUGCCUAAUACAUGCAAGUCGAGCGGAUGGAAGGAAGCUUGCUUCCUAAAGUCAGCGGCGGACGGGUGAGUAACACGUGGGCAACCUGCCCCUAAGAUCGGGAUAACUUCGGGAAACCGGAGCUAAUACCGGAUAUGAUUAUGUCUCACAUGAGACGUAAUGGAAAGACGGUUUCGGCUGUCACUUAGGGAUGGGCCCGCGGCGCAUUAGCUAGUUGGUGAGGUAACGGCUCACCAAGGCGACGAUGCGUAGCCGACCUGAGAGGGUGAUCGGCCACACUGGGACUGAGACACGGCCCAGACUCCUACGGGAGGCAGCAGUGGGGAAUAUUGGACAAUGGGCGAAAGCCUGAUCCAGCCAUGCCGCGUGUGUGAAGAAGGUCUUCGGAUUGUAAAGCACUUUAAGUUGGGAGGAAGGGUAUUCACCUAAUACGUGGGUACUUUGACGUUACCAACAGAAUAAGCACCGGCUAACUUCGUGCCAGCCGCCGCAGUAACAC
rnacentral:rRNA from 1 species